CUUGCGGAAGGAUCAUUACCGAGUGAGGGCCCUCUGGGUCCAACCUCCCACCCGUGUUUAUUAUACCUUGUUGCUUCGGCGGGCCCGCCUCACGGCCGCCGGGGGGCACCUGCCCCCGGGCCCGCGCCCGCCGAAGACACCAUUGAACUCUGUCUGAAGAUUGCAGUCUGAGCAGAUUAGCUAAAUCAGUUAAAACUUUCAACAACGGAUCUCUUGGUUCCGGCAUCGAUGAAGAACGCAGCGAAAUGCGAUAAGUAAUGUGAAUUGCAGAAUUCAGUGAAUCAUCGAGUCUUUGAACGCACAUUGCGCCCCCUGGUAUUCCGGGGGGCAUGCCUGUCCGAGCGUCAUUGCUGCCCUCAAGCACGGCUUGUGUGUUGGGCUUCGCCCCCCGGCUUCCGGGGGGCGGGCCCGAAAGGCAGCGGCGGCACCGCGUCCGGUCCUCGAGCGUAUGGGGCUUUGUCACCCGCUCUGUAGGCCCGGCCGGCGCCCGCCGGCGACCCCAAUCAAUCUUUCCAGGUUGACCUCGGAUCAGGUAGGGAUACCCGCUGAACUUAAGCAUAUCAAUAAGCGGAGGAA
rnacentral:rRNA from 1 species